GACGAACGCUGGCGGCGUGCUUAACACAUGCAAGUCGAACGGUGAAGCGCCUUCCUUUUUGGUGGGUGUGGAUGAGUGGCGAACUGGUGAGUAACACGUGAGUAACCUGCCCCCUUCUACUGGAUAACCGCAUGAAAGUGUGGCUAAUACGGGAUAUUCUGGGUCUGUCGCAUGAUGGGUCUGGGCAAGAUAUUGUUUCGGUGGGGGCUGGGCUCGCGGCCGAUCAGCUUGUUGGUGGGGUGGUGGCCUACGGAGGCGGUGACGGGUAGCCGGCCUGAGAGGGUGGCCGGUCACAAUGGGACUGAGACACGGCGGGGACUCCUAAGGGAGCCAGCAGUGGGGGAUAUUGGACAAUGGGAGCAAGGCUGAUGCAGCGACGCCGCGUGGGGGAUGGAGCGCGUCGGGUUGUGAACCUCUUUCGCCAGUGAAGCAGGCCUGCCUCGUUUGUGGGUGGGUUGACGGUAGCUGGAUAAGAAGCGCCGGCUAACUACGUG
rnacentral:rRNA from 1 species